UCCAAGUUGUUGUAUGAGAUAUAAGGACAUGAAAUGCGUCGAAUGGGGGCAAUACGUUGAACAGACUUCGGGCUUCUGUGUGUGUCCUCUGAGUUCUGGGACUUUUCAUUGACUCUAGCCUAGCUGAUCGGAAAGCAGCUGUUUUUGAAAAGUUCAAGUGGUCUUUUGGUUAAUCUAUAUUAGAGUAUCUGUUUUAGAAACAACCUAGUACUGAAUAAGAUUGUCAGAGUAUCUGUGAGCUUUGUUUAUUGCUGUGGAGGACUUCUUUUUCGGAGUAUCUGUAGUUUACUGUGAUUGUUAAUAAGGUUUUCUUUCUCCAUGAAACAAAAACAUACUGAAUCACUUUGGUUGCAUAAAGAUUGGUGCCUUUGGUGAAGCUACACUUUGGUUAUACUUUCAGAAAUUUUGGUUUAAUGCAAGAGCAUUUGUAGUGUUUUUAUUUCUCACUGAAAAAGGAUCAAGAGGUUCUUCUUCUGGAGACUUCAGUGUCAAGUCUGCCCCUUUGCUGAAUUUUCCCAAAUGAGAAUUCCCAGCUGUUCCUUCAUAUGGAAAUCCAAAUUGCCUCCUAAAGACAAAUGCUUUCUUCUUCAAAUAAGUAACCAAGGAACGAAGACUUAAAGAGGCGUAUGGUUUCUGAGUAGUCUAGAAGGAGAUCUUGUUACCCCCAACAACUUCAAUACUCUCAGUUUGAAUGCUGCUAUGACUGGGUUGAAGCCUCUUAGGCAUGACCCUCCUUCUCAGUUGGGUAUAUCCCCUGGAAUUUAGGCAGUUUUUCUAUGGCUUGCUGGAUGUUAUGGAGGAGGAGAUGCUGUAGGGCCUUUGGAAGGGAAUUUCAGUUGAGGCGUUUUUGUUCACCCAUUCUCAACCCUGGGACUCAGUUCAGCUACCCUUUCUGCGUUUCCUUUGUUUGGCUUUUUAUGAAGUCCAUGUAUGAGGACCAGUCCACUGAUUUUGGAGACACGGGGCAGAAAUAAAAGUUGACGCCUUUUAUAUUCAACACCCACUUCAUUUUGAACAAAAAUAAAAAUAAAAAAUUCCAUAUUUAUGUGCUAAGUUGGUUAGUUUAAGUAAAAGAUGGCCACUAUGUGAAAAAUAAAGAGAAGUGCCUAAAUCUUUUCAAAAUAAAGCUCAAAAAGCAUUCAUUAGAUGUAUAAAGAGACUUUUUUACUACUAUAAUUCUUGGCCUAAAAUGUUUUAUAGGAAUUCCAUUUUUUAAGGGGCCUUGUGCUGUCGGCCGUCCUGCACACCUUGCGGGUGGGGGCAUGCCAUGUAUUAUUCCAAACUCGUCAUUUUCGUUACUUUUUCCUACAAUUCGAUCAAUGUCAUUCCUAUCCUCUUAUGUUAUACGUAAAUAUAUGUAUAUUUUAACGUUCAAUGGUUAGAUUACCGUCAUUUUACGUCAAUUUCGUCAAUUAUAUUAAAGCCAACUCGUCUAAAGUUCUACUAUCAAAUGACGGAUAUUUACAAUUGUUUGAUUUUGAAAAUUACCGUCAUCCAUAUAACUGACAACAACUAUUGAGCCUCAUCUAUACACAAGGACUAUAGCCUAGCGCGACUUUGGGCCUAAAUGCUUUUGUUUUAGAAUCUCUAAGCCACGCCCUCUCCUUUAGUCACACGCUUUACACAAAAUUUGGUACGAAAAUACCAAAAAAAUAGAGAUAGCUUAAUUGAAAUUGGUUUAUUCAUGGAAUUCAUAUAUCAUAAAAAACAAAAACAAAAAGAAUAAUAAAUAAAACAAAUCAAAAUAUUAGCGUGCAAUAUUCUGGCAAAGAAACAAUGGAAACUCCAGUUCUGAACUUCACCAAUUCCAUCAAUCCCAUGACCUCCAUUACUCGACCCUUGCCCUCUUUCGGUAAUUUUCUUCUGCCCCAGCUCUCUAUAUUAUAUAGCAUUAAAUAUGGUGAUUCUCCGCAUCUUCAAAUUAAAGGUAGUGAUUAUAAUAUCUCUCUAAUUAAAAAUAAUUUUUAUUAGAAAUCAUCCACUUUUUAACUGUCUUAAUUUUAGUCCUCAAACUUUCAAAUUAAUAAAUAUGACCUCCAAAAUUUUGGUUCACACAUAAGUUUGGUCCGUAUCAUAUUUUGGAGAUGUGCAGGCAACGCAAGUGACCUCCCCACUACAAAAAAAAAGUGGCAACAAUUAUCAUUAUUUGGUGACAUUUGCUGGGGUGACUAAAGUUUUAGCCAUCCCAGCAAAUGUCACCAUAUAAUGGUGAUUGUUGUCACUUUUUUUUUGUAAUGUCCCCUUAAUCACCAAACUAGUUAUUGCCACUAAUGGAAGGUCAAGACUGCAACCCCCACUCCUUCCUAGUUACUUUGGCAAUGCGAUUUUCACAACAACGCCAAUUGCUGUCGCAGGGGAUUUCCAAUCAAAAUGAACAUGGUACGGAGCAAGCCACAUUCAUGAUGUUUUGGUUCAUAUGGAUGAUCAAGGUUUUAAAACGCAAGGUGUUGAGGCGAGAUGCUUUUGAUCUCGCAAGGUGAAGUGUAACCCUUUCAAACAUUAAUUAUUUUAAUUAAAAAUAUAAAAUUAUAUAAAAUAAUUAUAAACGGGUACUAAUUGUCUCCUAAGUAGAAUAAUCAAGUAUUCUAGGAGGACAAUUUAGGGUACUGCAGAUAUGAUUUCUGGUUCAACAAUUCUGUAGAUAUGAUUUCUGGUUCAACAAUUCUACUGCGUGGGAAGGGCAUAAACAGUUGCAGGAUAUUUACCCUAAAUCUCACAGAGUCUUAAAAAUAGGCUAAAGACUGUUAAAUUGCGAGCAUGCCACUAUUAGCAGUGUAAAACCCUAAUAGAUCUUAAUGAAUUAAAAUAACUUAUGCACCAAGAAACCUGACUUCCAAUCAAACAAUUGUGCUUGGAAUAGAGAACUGGUUCAAUAUGGAUUUUUUCUAUGCCUCAAGAUAAACGAGGACUUUAUUAUUUCUCUAAUACAAAGCUAAGAGAUAAAAAACAUAAACAAGUAAACAAUGUGUCAAAUCGAUCAUAUCUGGUGAGAACUAAGACUGCCAUUACCUUUGAGUUGCCUCAUAGCCACUAGAACGAGAGUAUUUUUGUUCACCACUUUAACCCAAGUUGUACCAUUAUCACCCUUCUCAACACUUGACACGUAUCUGUGGGCAUAACUAUGGUUAUGCACAUGGACAGUGGCAAAGCCAUGAAUCUUACCACAAGGGGUCUUAGUGUAAAAGUCCAAAUAAAAAUUUAGGAUGGAAAAACAUAUUGAAAAUGAAAUCAUAGUAUUUUCAUUCAUAAUUCAUAACGGAAACAAUAUUACAAGCUAUAAUUGUCCAUGACGAGGUUUCAUAUUUUGAAAACGAAGCAUUAUAGCUUCAUUUUCAAUACAAGCAAAAAUAUCUCUCUCAAUAUAAACAAGCAAGCUAUCACUCAACCAUUGAUCUCCCAUUUUGUUCCUAAGUGGACCCUUAACAAUAUUCAUGAUAGAAAAUGCUCUCUUCACUGAAGCAGUUGCAACCGGUAAAACUAAAGACAAUGUAAUGAGCAAAUACACAUAAUUGAAUACUUGAUGCAUCCUUGUUUCCACCAUUUUUUUUUUUGCAAGAUCACCAAUCCCUUCCAGUUGAGAAAAGUCACUACUAGAACGCACAUAAUGGAUAUAAAUCUCAAGUUGAUCUUCAAGUGCCAAACGAUCCUCAUCCGAAAAGUCUUAAGGAUAAAAUUGAGCAAGACGAAGUAACUUUGAUUUAUCAAAAGCUAUAAAUGAAUCUUUCGGACUCAAACAUGCCAAACAAAUUAGCAAUUCGGUAUUUACCUCAUUAAAGCGAUCCUCUAACUCCGUAAUUUUUUCAUCAAUGACAUAAAUAAAGAGCUUCACACGAUAAUGAUGACGAUUUGUCUUUAUUGGAGCAUUACGCCUUGACCUCCCUGGAAGUAUAAAUGCCUCUUCCAUGUUAGGAACAUAAAUAUGAUGUUUUUCACAAAAAGAAAAUAUUUCAUUAACCAAUGUAUCGAACCCAUUAUUCCUCAUCUAAUGUAGCUUUUCCUUGCAUGAUUUCACUAAAGUCAUUGCAUUCACAAUUUCUUGAUCUUUCCUUUGCAAUGCUUGUGACAAAUCAUUUGUGAGUCCCAAUAUGGCUUUCAUCAAGAAAAGGUGAAACACAAACUCAAAAAUACGUAUUUCUCUCAUUAACUUAUUUGCUUCACCCGCAUUUUCAUUGGGAUUAUCAUCAAUAACCAUUUGAAGCACAUGAACCACUGAUGAAAACAUAGAAAUGAUGCUAAUCAAGGUACCAUAGUAUGAGUUUCAUCAUGUGUCACCGGCAUGUUUGAGACUUGUUUCUUGAUUUAAGUCUCGCCCCGUUAUAAGACAAUCAUGUUCAAAAGCUAUCACAAGCUCUUCAUAAAGUUGCCCUCUAAGUAAAUCACGCCGCUUACAAGAUGCUCCAACAUGAUUAACCACACUAUUAGUAGUUGCAAAAAAAGAGGCAAAUGUCUAUAUUUUUCUUUGCUACGGCAACAAGAGCUAGUUGAAGUUGAUGAGCAAAGCAAUGAACAUAAUAUACACAAGGUUGUUCUCUCAAUAUCUUUGUUUUAAGGCCAUUCAACUCACCUCUCAUAUUGCUAGCAUCAUCAUAACCUUGUCCUCGUAGCUUGGAAAGGCACAAAUCGUUGCGAGAAAAAAAUGUGUCAAUAGCAUCCUUUAGUGAACUUGAAGUAGUGUCAGUAACAUGUUGGAUACCCACAAAUCUUUCAAUUACAUGCCCUUUGUUAUCCAUAUAACGCAAUACCAUAGUCAUUUGCUCUUUCACCGACACAUCACGUGCUUCAUCCAUCAAUAUUGAAAAGAAUUUAUCUUUUAGACCAUCCAUGAUAGCAUCAAGUGUUUCAAGGGCAUAUGAAUUCACAAUUUCUUUUUGAAUGCAAGGAGCUAGUAAUUUGAGAUUCCCAGGAGCAUUUUCCAUCACAACUUCUCUAACUUUAUCAUCAUUAUCUGCAAGGAAUUGCAAUAGCUCCAAGUAAUUUCCCAUAUUGCUUGAAGUGGCACUUUCAUCAUGGCCACGAAAAGCAAGACCUUGUCGCAAUAAAAACUUAGUGCACUUGAUUGAUGCAUUCAAGCAUGUGCGAUAAGCCUUACGAGCUUGGUCGGAGUGUUUGCUCACUGCCGUUUCAAUAUGUGUAUUUCGAUUCAUCAAAUUUGUAGCAGCUUCUCUAGCCUUAUUAUGAACACUCCCAACCGGUCCAACAUGCAUCUUAAAUCUUCCUCUCCCUUUCUUCCAAUUCUUAAAUCCAUCUUCAGUGAAAGCUUCACUACCCACUUGUUCAAAAUUGGUUUAAAGAGAUAGCAAUAGAGACAAUAUGCCGCAUCUGUAGAUAUACUAUACUCCAACCAAUCAAACUCAUCAAACCAUUGGGGAAUGAAACGUUGAUUAAUUCCUGACAUAUUAGUUAUUGGGAAAUUAUGACCUCUAGGUUGACAAGGUCUUUUUUGUAGAUAUGAUCUUCGGACCUCAUCUCUCAUAUUAGCAUCAUAAUCUAUCAUUCGAGUUCUUAAUCCAGGGUCCGCUUGAAGAUUACCUAAAACACCAUAUAACUGACUUUGUCUUGAACUUGGAGUUCUUGAACUACCAACAUUAUUUGAACUAUCAACAUUAUCCGAACUACACGAACCUGAUCAUGAUUUUCUCUUAAAAAACCGUUCCAUAAUAUUCUACAUAUACAAAACAAUCAAAAUAAAUACUCACAAUAUAAACAAACCAUCAACAUAAUCAAAAUACAUAUGAAUUGGAUUUCAAUUAAAUUAAAUAUAUUCUACAUAUACAAAAUAAUGAAAAUAUAAACUCACAAUAUAAACAAACCAUCAAUAUAAUCAAAAUAAAUAUGAAUUGAAUUUCAAUUAAAUUAAAUAUAUUCUACAUAUACAAAAUAAUGAAAAUAAAAAAUUAUAAUAUAAUCAAACCACCAAUAUAAUCAAAAUAAAUAUGAAUUAGGUUUCAAUUAAAUUAAAUAUAUCAUACAUAGUAACAUAGGAUUUAAAACUUACUUGAAUUGUGAAAUUUCACAAUAACAAUGAGCAAAUACAAAGAGAGUAGCUAGCGGCACCACCACAACGACGACGACGGUAGCACAAAGGCACCUCAAUUGUGGCAGCCAGGGAGGGGAUUGAGUUGAAGGUUUUGGGGGGGUUGGUGUGGGGUGGGAAUUGAGUUGGGAACUUAGGGUUGGAGGAGGAGAAAACAAAAGAAAAUUGGGAGUUUUGGAAUGGAGGAAUUGGGUUUGUGGAAAAGCAAUGGCUGGAGGAUACGUUGGUCAUUAUUUUUUUUUUUCAGACCUGGCUCAAAACGACGUCGUUUUUGCCAGGUUAUUUACAAAAAAUUCACUGUGCCAAAACAACGUAGUUUUGGCCAGGUCAUUUAAAAAAAUUCCCUGAGCCAAAAGGACUUUCCUGAGCCAAAACUACGUCGUUUUGCCCAGGUUGUUUAAAAAAAAAAACUCGCACGCCAGUCAGCCUUCUUCUUUUUCAGCCUGCGAACCUUCCUUCUUCUUUCAGACAUUUCGUCGACCACUUGGUGUGCAGCUCCAAGAGGUCGCACCAGCAGCUCCAAGGGACCUCUAAGCCUAUUUCCAUGGCUUCCAAGAGGUCGUGCGACCCCAUUGACCCCACUGUGGCUCCGCCUCUGCACAUGGACACUUGUCAAGUGUUGAGAACUAUGUGUAUCUUUUUAUGUUUAUUAAUAAAAUUCACUCGUAUCAUAGAGUUUAAUAUAUAAAUUUUGCCCAAUCGACUUUCAAAUUCUAGAACCGCCACUAGGGUGUAGUGUGCAGUUCGAACAUUGAGGCGGUCAUAGGUUUUGAGAAGGAUAGGCCACUGAGAGGUGUCCAUGGAAGGAGUCGGGGUUAAUGAAGUCUUUGUCCAAAUCAUUGUCUUUAUGUCUAUGCUUUUUCUUCUUUUUCUUCUUUAUAUCUGCCCUUUUCGCCACGGCCUUCACUGGGGUUCGAUCAUCAUCAGAAGCCAUUUCCUGCACAUUAGACAGAACAAAAAUGAAAAAAAAAAAAAGAAAAAAAAGAACACUAGAACAGCAGGUAAAACCCAACAUCAAAUACAAAUUUUAUUCUGGGCAAAAUUUAAGAGAAAAUAAUCGCUCUGAUUUUUCCAUUGUCAAACAAAAAAAACACUUAAUUAAUCAUUACCCAUAAUAGAGUUAUAUUAUAUGCUUGGGGAUGGUGGCUUUCCUAAACAAAGCAUUAUCAUUAAGUUCCCAGUAAAGAGAUUAACACAAAAUGGCAGGGGUUUUACAAAUAAACUAGUUUCAGGUGCAGUGACAUGUUAGGAACCCUUAUCAGCUUCUGAAGACAAAAGAAGAGACUUUCACAUACAAAUCACUUGGAAGUAUUCAUAACAGAAAACCCAAAAGAGGGCAAGUAGAAAAUCAAUACCUUUUACUUAAAAGCACCUAAUCGGAAUGGUUCGGCGGCGGCAGAGGUAGGGGUUUUAAGAAGAGAAAGAGAGAAGAGAAGAGGAGAGAGUGGCGGGAGUUAGGGUUAUGCAAUUAACCCUGCUAUUUUAUGUUUUAUUAAUUACAAUUUUGGAGAUUUCUCACCUGUUCUUUUCUGGGAUCAUCUAGGAUAGAAAAAACCAAAUGUAACAGAUCAGAACCAUGAACAAACAAACUUUUCUUUCUCUUUUUCAUGUCAGUUUCAGAGGAAACAAACAGAGAAUUGGAUAGAGAAAUACCAUGGUUGCGAAGUUGAGCUGACGACUAGAGGAAGAGACGGCAGCAAACGAAGAAGGUCGAGGUCUCUCUCGCACUCGUUACCGUCUCCCAUGGUUGGAAAUUCAGAUCUGACCGCAUUGAGUCCGAUUUGAGAGCUCGAAGAGAGAGAAGGCUUGGCUGCCGGUGAAGAUGGGGUUUCCGUCGGUUAGGUGGGUGGGUGGGUACCUAAGGAAGAGAAGCCAUGGUUUUUGGUGUGAGUUUCUGGGACUGAGCUUGCAAUAUCCCACAUUCAUCUUUUCCCAGCUCUGUAAAUUUUCCAUCUCCAGGUUGAAAUGCAAGCUUUCGCGGGUGGGAGGCAAAGAAACCCACUAUAGCAGGUUAUCCAGUUUUUGUGUGUGGUGAUUUUAGUGAUUUUUCUUCACAAAUUAUUUUGAGCCAUUAGAUCAAAACUUUUAAAUCCAACGGUUAAAAGCUUUGAUGUAUAAGUAUUGAUACACCAGAGCAUAUUAGAAUUUUCGCUAGAUGACAUCUGUGAAGAAGUCACUAUAGAAUAGGCCUCAUUAUUUGGUCUGUGGGCUCAUGGGUCGAUAGGGGCUUGUCCGGCCCAUCGAAAAAAAGCCCGGCCCGGCCCAUUAUGGGCUUUGAGAUGGCUUGGCCAGCCUUGGGCUGGGCUAGGCUUGGGCUUGGGUGUCUCAAGCCCAGCCCAACCUGAUUAAGCCCAAGAAAGCUCGGCCUGGCUCGUUAGGCCCACAUACAUAUAUAAUUAUGUAUAAAUAGGAGUUUAGGUUUAGGAUUAAAUCACAUAUAUAAUUUGUUUCAUUUCAUUUACUUUUCUUUACUCAUUCCUAGUUUAUAAUUGGAUGAUUAACACAUUAAUUUGUGUCAAUUAUUAAUUCAACAAUUAUAUAUAUAAAUAAGAUGAACAACAUAUCACAUCACCAAAUAUAAUCAUAUCAUGAAACAUAAUCGUACCACCAAAUAUAAUCAUGCUUUUCUUGAACACAUCACCAAAUAUUUGCAUAUUUAUUCAUACCAUCCUUUAAAAAAAAAAAUUUGAUACUUAUUAUUUUUUAAAACGUAUUACGGUCUAAUUAUGUAAUAACCUCAAAAAUAAUACUUUGUUUUAUUAUUUUUUUGGAAAAUCUUAUUAAGUUGUGUGACUUUAUUUGGUGUUUUAUGAAUUUGGUUUGAUGUGAAAAUAUUGGAAUUAAGUUAGUUUAAUUUUAAAUUUGGACUAAAAUGCCCUUAUGAUUAAGUUUAUAAUUUUUUUUUAAUGAAGUAUGCCCAUUUAGGCCUGACCAGUUGGGCUUAGCCUUGCCCGGCCCGAUGGGCUUUCUCAAGUUUGGCCCAUGGGUUGGGCUUGGACUUUGAAUUUUCUAAAAAAAUCCGGCUUGGCCAAGCCAUAUAUUUUCUCUCUUCUUUUUAAAACCCGGCCCUGCCCAGCCCAAGCCCAUUAAAUUUGGGCCGAGCUAUACGAGCCCUACUACAGAAUGUCUUGAUUUGACAGUUACGUGGGUCCCAUACUUUUCAUGCAAAUUGAUCAGGAAGGUGAGAGGGAAGGGCCAUGAUGUUUUUUGGUUUUCUUAAGCAAUAGUUCUUGAACUAUACUCGUAGUUAUAUUUUGGUCACUCAACUCCAAAAAUAGAUGCAAAGAUCCCAUAAUUAUGUAUGGUGUUACAUUAGUAGUCCCUUUCGUCAAGUCUGUUUAUUUUUUCGUUAAAUCUAUGGAUAAACUUGAAAAUUCAUUCCAAAUAUUUAUAAAAACGAAAUAACAAAAAAUAAAUAAAUAAAGGUUAUUUGUAGCAAUGGUCCCUCAACUAUAGUCAAAGUUAUAUUUUGGUCACUCAACUCUAAAAAAUAGUUACAAAGGUCACUCAAUUAGAUGUAGUGUUGCACCAUUAGUCCUUACCGUCAAGUCUCUUUAACAGUAAAAACUAAUAGUGCAACACAACACCUAAUUGAUGAGCUGUUUGGGCCCUUGGCUGAUUGUUUCAAGUGGACAUACUUUGGUUUUGAUUUGAAUGGCAGAAGUGGUAGCUUAAUCCUACAAGUGCAUUUAUUGACCGAAAGGCAAAGGAUGGGACCAAUAAAUGUCUACAUCUAACCCAAAUAAGCUAGGCCUGCCCUUUCUUUUUAUAAUGAAUUCUCCAUACCUGUUCUUCACAAAUAUAUAGUGCACUAUUAAAGUCGGUCGCUCAACUUCGAGUGGUAUAACUUAAAAAAUAAAUAAAUAAAUAAAUAAAAUCGAGUAAUAUAAAGUAGGAGCUGAGGAAUCUUUAGAAGAUGAUAUUGUGAUGGAAAAAGAAGGUGAUUUUGAGAACUUGAGAGGGCCUUGGAUGGUUGUUCAAAAUAGGAGAAAACCGAAAAGUUGGGUUAAGGAUAGAGGAAACAAGGGAGCUGGAGGUCCCAGCAUAGGCUGUCGGUUUGACACGUUAAGAAAAGUGAAUGAAGACUUUGAUAGAAAUGGAGGGUUUGAUACUGGCAAGACUAAUUAGUUUGGGCCCAACCAUGUUGGCACAUCUAAGAGCACCUCCACCGCCCCGUCCACAGCCCCUCGAAGCUCAGGUUAGGCCCUCCAGCGUGCAGCCUGAAGAUCGGGCAAGUCCUGGGGCCCACUAGUCUGGGCAAGUCCAAGGGCAAUUCUUGGUUGGGCUCCAGCCCAAAGUGGUUGACGUCAACGAAGUGAAAUUAGAUUAUUAUUUUCUUUUACCGUUGGCGCAUGAAAUUCAGAUUUUUUUUUUCUUCUAUCAAUUUUUUUAUUUAUUGGGAUUUUCUAUUUAGAAUUACUAACGUACUCUUUUAUUUAGUUCAGUUGUUGAGAAGCACGAUAAUGGGCACUAGAAUAUCAGCCAGCGAAUCAUAGGACACUAGCCAGAUCAACAACAAUAGCCCAAUUGAUCAAGAUAAUUCUUUUCAUUAGUAUAGAACUUUGUUUAUGAUCUUGCGCUCUUGAAAAUCAUGUUAGUAUGGCUUCCUUUAUUUUUGGUAUGCGUUCUGUUAAAUUAGGUAAAUUAUGUAUACUUGUAUGUUAAAUUUAUGUACUAAAAUUUUAGGAAUGGAAGAAUCUUCUGCAAGACUAGACAAUAAUCAACAUGAUGAUGCAGUUGAAAUGAAUUUUAAUGGGAUUGAAAAGGAAAAUAAUGGGGAUGAAACUGAAAAUAAUGACAUUGUAAUGAGUGUUGAAGAAAAAGUACAAGACCCUCGAGUUAGAAUGAUUUUUGACAGUGUUGAUGAGGUGAUCACAUAUUACAAACAAUAUGGGAGGCAAUCAUAGUUUCCAGUGAUAAGGAGAUCAUCAAGAACUGGAGAUGAUGGAAAUUUCAAAUAUGUUACUAUUCUUGUGCCCAAUAAGACAAAUCAAAAAGUAAGUCAAGUAAUCUUCUUAAAUCUCAUCCAAGUAUAAAGAAUGAUUGCAAGGCUCAGCUUAGGGCAGGUUUAUUGAACGUCUUUUUUGCAGUUUCUUUAUAUUUUAAAUAAAUUCAGAGACUCUUUGGAUUCUGCGUGUAGUUUUCACCAAAAUUUCAUACACGCGAUUAGAAAUGGUAUUUCCUUACUUGACUUAUAACCGGCCCAUUCCCAUCCCUAAAGAUCACCAAUUUCAUUUUCAAUUAUUUUUGUUUGUAAAACUUAAGAUACUAUAUCUCUAGUAAUUCCAACACAAGACAAGCCAAUUCAAAUGAUAAUUUCAUGGAGUGAAUCUCUUUAAAAUAAGUGGUGAAGUAUUACUUUUUAGGAAUAGUAAAUCAAAUAAAUAAGCAUAAGUUAUUGGUUCCAAGCAUAAGUUAUUGAUACUAUUCUCUAAAAAGAAGAAUAUCAAUCAUAUAUGUUUAUCUAUAUUAUAACACAAAAAUAAAUCAUACCACUUAACCGUAACAUUUUAUAAUUUCUUGAAAAGUCCAAACCUUUUAAAUGAGGUUUCGUGUGAUUUUGUCAGGCUGAGAGGUCCCAUCUAAUGGUAGAAUUUUCCCAUAAAGGAGAGGUCCGACUCCCAAUGGAGACCCAUCGACCAAAAACAGUAGAGUAAUCCCCGCAAAGAAGAAACAAUUAAUAUUCAAGUGAGUAUGCCACCUAAAUAAUAAUGAGGACAUCGUGGAACAGUUUCGAACCACGAUCUACUUUGUUUUCUUCUUAUAAUUGUGAAAUUGAUACCGUUGAUGCAUUGAGGACAGAGACAAUUCGACACUGACAAGGGUCUUUAUUUGAAAAUGCUCAGGGGGUGAGAAUGAAUACGAUAUCUACCUAUCACAUCACGUGAUAAAAAUCUAAUAAGUAUAAAAUUAUUCUUUUCAAUUAGAGGGUGAACUCUAUUAUAUUAAUUGACUCUACUUUGAUUAGAAAAAUAAUACAUAAUCUUAGAAGGGACGUUUAGACUUUGCUUUUUAAUUUUGUAUUUUUAUAGAGUUGACAUUGAGAGAGCAGAAUUAUGGUUUGAAAUGCUCUUAACUACUACUAUUUAACCACGUAAACUAUAAGCUAUAAACCAAUAAUUUUUCUAUGUUUGAGGCACAUAGUAUUUAUGUCUUAUGUUAUGUCACAUGUAUUGAAAAAUAUGUCUACAUGGGAUGGGACCCUGGUGUACCCGCACAUACACAAAUUUGUCCUUGCUCAGUCGCUACAUAUAUGGAUGUUAUUACAACGUCGGUAUACAGAGACGUGCUUUGCCUUCUUCACUGCAAAGAAGGUUAGAUAAAUAGUUUGGUUUGGAGGUGAGGUGAGGCCCAGCAAAAAGAUGGCGGUGGUCAACGUGAGCGUGAGGGAGUCAACGUUGGUGAAGCCGGCGGAGGAGACGCCGAGGCAGGUGCUGUGGAUGACCAACUUGGACCUUGUGAUUUUGGGCAACCACACGCCAAGCGUCUACUUCUACAGGCAGAACCAAAACAGUGUGCACGGUCAUCAUAACAACUUCUUCGACCCGCAGGUGCUCAAGCAGGCGCUAAGCAAGGCCCUCGUGCCCUUCUACCCGUUGGCGGGGCGCCUCGGGAUGGAAGGCAACGGCCGCGGCGAGAUCGACUGCAAUUCGGAGGGCGCGCUGUUUGUCGUGGCUGAGACGGGCUCAACCAUCGACGAUUUCGGCGACUUCGCGCCGACUCUCGAGUUCCGGAAGCUCAUCCCAGCCGUUGAUUAUUCGACAGGGAUAUCAACUUAUCCCCUCUUGGUGUUGCAGGUAUGUUUAAAAUCGCUAGUGUCGUUUCAUUACUUGAUCUUGACCGUAGAUUAAACGCUUCGGUCAACAUUUCACCCAGCUGACUUGGUUGAAUGAUAGUUGAUGAUGAAAUUUUAUUUAUUUGGUAAUUGAAAGGAUAACAAAAAACACAAAAAAAGAGGAAAGCAGAAGCAUCUGGUGGCACUGCCACACUUUAUCAUGAAAUGAUAUUUGUAUUUAUUGAUUAAUAUUUGAAUUAAUAAAAAAUAUUAACUAUGCCGACAGAGAGACUAUAUUACCUAAAGAGUGAUGCUAUUUCUCUAUUUUCUCACUCAUCUUAUUUUCCUAUUCAAUAUAUAAAUUUUAAUAAAUACAAUUAUAUUUUUUCACCCUCUAUUAUUCCUAGAAUACCUUUUACAAAAUUAAAUGAAAAAAAAGUUAAUCAAGCUCUCUUCUCCAAGUCACCCCCAACCUCUUGCUCUCCUCUGCCAUCACCACCAUCCCUCCAACCCAUCUGUAAAACCCAUAAAUUUGUUUUCUCCUAAUUGAAUUUUGCUUUAACAUUAUCUGCCCAAAUUAAUUCCCUAUUUAUUUACAUAAAUUUCAAAUGAAGCCUGCAUAAUAAUAACUCACCCAACAUCCCCUACACUGCGAUAUUCCAAUUUUUAUUUCUGUAGUUUCAAAAGAGCUCUUCCUGUUUUUAUGAUACUGCAACAGCAUAAAAAUUCCAGUACCACAUGUUUUGGCAAACUCGUGCAAAAUAACAAGCAGCUGGAAAAAAAAAAUACAAAUGUUUCAGAGAGUGAACCUUAUUUUACUUGCCUAGAUAAAACUGACCAAGAUUGAAUUAAAGAUGAACAUCAAAUGGUGUUGAUUAAGCAAACAGAGGAUGAAGAGUCCAAAAAAAUGAUAAAAGAAGCGUCACAAAUAGAAGAAUUUAUUUCAAUCCUUAGAAGUUAUUUUACAUAAGGAUAAAUUUGUCUUUAAAAUUUUGAGAAUAAGAUAGGGGGAAAAAUAGGACAUAAGGUGAAAAUAGCAGCAUUCUUCUUAAAAUAUGUAUUUCGGAAGAAUUAGAGCAUGUGCGACACUUUAAUAUCCAGGUAAUUAUGAUUAGAUGGAGUUUAACUGAAUAAAAACGAGUCUAUUGUGAUUAGAUGGGAUCUUCUUUUCCUCAAUAUCAACUGGCUGAUUUAUAUGCUGCUGUCAAGUCCAUUUACUUCAACUAUCUACUUUAGUACUUUUGGAAACUACUUUUCCUCACAGGCGAAAAGUUUUGUUGUUUACGUAUACAAGUUAAGCUGCCAAUCUUGAUUCCAAGCAUAAAUGUUUGUCCUGUUGUUUCACGUUGUAUCAGUUAAUAGAAUUUGGAGAACCACCGGCCAAAAACAGUAGAAUAAUCCCCGCAAAGAAAGGAACAAUUAAUAUAUACUAUAAAUGAUAAUGAAGACACGUGGAGCAGUUUGGGUGGAGACAUUGUUGGGCAGUUUCAAACCACAUACUAUUUUGUUUUCUUCUUAUAAUUAUGAAAACGAUACCCGUUGAUGCAUUGAGGGACAGAGACAAUUCGACAGUUGACGAGUGUUCUUUACUUUGUAGUUUGUAUGGAUUCUUCAAUACUUCGAGUCCAACCUGCAUUCGUCUGUCUACUUGUUGCCACUUAGAUGAGCUUAAUAGGGAGUUUUAAUUACAAUUAUGGUAGUUAAUAAAAUGUUUGAAAUAAAUUAUAAAUAAAAUAUGAAAUUUAGUGACAAUGAUGUAAAAACGUAGGAAUAUUAUGACUUCUUAUAUCAUACUGGUCAUUUAAAUUUGAAAUUGAAUUUUAUAUAUAGAUUUAUAGAAUGAUGAGUAUAUGUUUAGGAAAUAGAAAAUGUAGGGACUUAUAUUGGACAAGCCCUAAUUCUUUAAGCCAAGUUAUUGUCUUCCUGUUAUAUCUGAGUGGAUGCGUUUUCUUUUUGGUGGAUUAGAGAAUAGUUUUACCCCACUAUACAAUUCCAAGUGCUCACCCCUUCUUUUAUUUCUCUUGCUCAUAAUAUCAUCCUGGAUAUGACUUAAACUUACAAAGUAUGGUUCGGGUUUUACUCUGUUUAUGCAUCAGGUCACAUACUUCAAAUGUGGUGGAGUGUCACUUGGUGUUGGCCUGGAACAUCGUGUAGCAGAUGGCCUUUCUGGUCUCCACUUUGUAAAUACAUGGUCUGAUAUUGCUCGAGGUCUUGACCUGACAAUUCCACCAUUCAUUGACAGGACAUUACUUCGUGCCCGAUACCCACCACAGCCUGCAUUCGAUCACAUUGAAUACCAACCCGAUCCACCCAUUAAAACUGGUACAAAAGCUGUAGGUGAUGAGAGCGCAACGGUAUCCAUUUUUAGAUUGACAAGGGAGCAGCUCAACAUCUUGAAAGCCAAGUCUAAGGAAGAUGGGAACACAAUCAACUAUACCACAUAUGAGAUGUUGGCAGGCCAUGUUUGGAGAUGUGCAUCUGUGGCACGUGAACUUCCUGAUGAUCAAGAGACCAAACUACAUAUUGCAGUUGAUGGAAGGUCCAGACUGCAACCCCCACUCCCACCUGGUUUCUUUGGCAAUGUGGUUUUUGCAGGCGCACCAAUUGCUGCAGCAGGGGAUCUCAAAUCAAAACCAACAUGGUAUGCUGCAAGCUGUAUUCAUGAUACUGUUGUGCGUAUGGACAACGAUUAUCUUAGAUCAGCACUGGACUAUCUUGAACUUCAGCCUGACCUGUCACCCCUUGUUCGCGGAGCUCAUACUUUUAGGUGCCCGAGACUUGGAAUAACUAGUUGGUCUAGGCUGCCGAUCUAUGAUGCUGAUUUCGGUUGGGGUCGACCUAUUUUCAUGGGGCCUGGUGGAAUGGGAUAUGAGGGGUUGGCUUUUGUGUUACCAAGUGCAACAAAUGAUGGAAGUUUAUCGGUGGCCAUUUCUCUGCAAUCUCAACAUAUGCAAUCAUUCUCCAAGUUGUUGUAUGAGAUAUAAGGAAAUGAAAUGCGUCGAAUGGGGGCAAUACGUUGAACAGACUUCGGGCUUCUGUGUGUGUCCUCUGAGUUCUGGGACUUUGCAUUGACUCUAGCCUAGCUGAUCGGAAAGCAGCUGUUUUUGAAAAGUUCAAGUGGUCUUUUGGUUAAUCUAUAUUAGAGGAUCUGUUUUAGAAACAACCUAGUACUGAAUAAGAUUGUCAGAGUAUCUGUAAGCUUUGUUUAUUGCUGUGGAGGACUUCUUUUUCGGAGUAUCUGUAGUUUACUGUGAUUGUUAAUAAGGUUUUCUUUCUCCAUGAAACAAAAACAUACUGAAUCACUUUGG
rnacentral:lncRNA from 1 species